rnacentral:misc_RNA from 1 species
CCGGAACCGACAAUGGUAAUGAUGCUGAUAAUGAUGGUGGUUGGAACAUGAAUUUGGAGAAGAAAAGCGAAGAUUUUAAGAAGAUUUUGGAUGUUUCCAAGGAGGAGAGGGACCGCACUCAGCGAAUGCAGGUCAUUGAUCGGGCCGCGGCAGCGAUUGCGGCUGCUCGUGCCAUACUGAAGGAUAGGCAGUCUGGAAAUGAUAAGGCAAAUGA